GACGAACGCUGGCGGCGUGCUUAACACAUGCAAGUCGAACGGAAAGGCCCUGCUUUUGUGGGGUGCUCGAGUGGCGAACGGGUGAGUAACACGUGAGUAACCUGCCCUUGACUUUGGGAUAACUUCAGGAAACUGGGGCUAAUACCGGAUAGGAGCUCCUGCUGCAUGGUGGGGGUUGGAAAGUUUCGGCGGUUGGGGAUGGACUCGCGGCUUAUCAGCUUGUUGGUGGGGUAGUGGCUUACCAAGGCUUUGCCGGGUAGCCGGCCUGUGAGGGUGACCGGCCACAUUGGGACUGAGAGACGGCCCAGAGUCCAACGGGAGGCAGCAGUGGGGAAUAUUGCACAAUGGGCGGAAGCCUGAUGCAGAAACGCCGCGUGCGGGAUGACGGCCUUCGGGUUGUAAACCGCUUUAGCCUGUGACGAAGCGUGAGUGACGGUAAUGGGUAAAGAAGCACCGGCUAACUACGUG
rnacentral:rRNA from 1 species